CAUUUGCGUUAGGGAUAGUAGCGGAAAUCCUUUUUUGGCUGUGCUGAGCUUGUCGAAGUACAAUAAAAAAGAUUGAAGCGAAUAGCCCGACCGCCG
rnacentral:sRNA from 1 species